UGCUGGAUGUAGAUGGGGGGAA
rnacentral:piRNA from 1 species